rnacentral:misc_RNA from 1 species
AUUAAAAAAAAAAAAAAAAGAGUUUAGCUAGUGAUAGCCAUGCAUCUUUCUAACAUCAUCUGCAUUAAUCUUCUGCUAAAUAGAGAAUGUAAAGGGCAACAAAAUACUGAAAAAUUGACAAGUCAGUCUGUUCAUGCAAUUCAAUCUUUUCAAUUGGUAGUUUACUAAUCCUUCAUACCCAGUAUAUCAUUGAAAACAUUAAAAAAGGGUUUUGGAAGGAAAUGGGACGAUUGAGAGUUAUAAAAAAGCAAAAGUCAAGUAAGAAUAUCAUUGAAGUACUAAAAUGAAGCAAAUGGGAGAGAGCAUCAGAACUUCUUAAUUAAAGAAUCUUGCAUCCCUCCUCCCCCCAAUCUUAAUUUUCCUUAAUAUCAGAAAUAACAUAUAUUUGAAGAAAAAAAAUUCAAUCGUCAAAGCUGGAAAAGAAAUUUAUUGAACAUCAUUGCAAUGCAUUCUAGAAGAGGCUUGAACCUUGAAAGGCUUGCAACUCGAUGCAAAUCCAAUGAUUUAAGAUUUAUUGUCCUUUCUGUUAUUUAAAGAAGCAUUUUUACAGUGGCUUGGCUAAAUGUCAACCAUCCUCAUGCAGUCAGCAAGAAGCACUCAUGCUACCCUUUAUUUAUUUACUUCUAUCUGCAGAUGGGGUUGUUAUGAAGAUCAAAACAAAGCAAAAUUUAUCAGCCAGCACAAAAGUUCACGAGAACCAGACCAUGAAAAACCGUUACCAUCUUAAGACAUGUGGAGGUUGCCAUUGUAGAUUUCUCUUAUAGAACAACAGACGCUUCAGAAAACUAUAUAAAUUUAUGUUUUAUAUAUAAUUAAUAAUAACAUACCUAAACCUAUUUCAAAGUGCAUAUAUAACUCAAAUUUAAACUUGAAAAAUCAUCUUAGAACUUUUUCUCUAGAAACACAGUAUAAUUUAUUUAUUGUUUUUUUGUUUGUUCUUAUAUUCAACAACCACUUAUUGAAUAUAUAGCAAAGAAUCAAUAGGAAUGAUUAUUCAAAAUCUUCUAAUCACCUAGUGAGAAGAAUAAUUUGACUUUGUAUAGGCAAAGGAAAAACUGGUGUUCAUACUUUUCUCUCUCUCUCUCUCUC